UACGUAGGGUGCGAGCGUUGUCCGGAAUUACUGGGCGUAAAGAGCUCGUAGGUGGUUUGUCGCGUUGUUCGUGAAAUCUCACGGCUUAACUGUGAGCGUGCGGGCGAUACGGGCAGACUGGAGUACUGCAGGGGAGACUGGAAUUCCCGGUGUAGUGGUGGAAUGCGUAGAUAUCGGGAAGAACACCAGUGGCGAAGGCGGCUGCCUGGCCUGUUCUUGACGCUGAGGCGCGAAAGCGUGGGGAGCAAACAGG
rnacentral:rRNA from 1 species